GAUGAACGCUGGCGGCGUGCCUAAUACAUGCAAGUCGAGCGAACGGACGAGAAGCUUGCUUCUCUGAUGUUAGCGGCGGACGGGUGAGUAACACGUGGAUAACCUACCUAUAAGACUGGGAUAACUUCGGGAAACCGGAGCUAAUACCGGAUAAUAUUUUGAACCGCAUGGUUCAAAAGUGAAAUACGGUCUUGCUGUCACUUAUAGAUGGAUCCGCGCUGCAUUAGCUAGUUGGUAAGGUAACGGCUUACCAAGGCAACGAUGCAUAGCCGACCUGAGAGGGUGCUCGGCCACACUGGAUCUGAGGCACGGUGCAGACUCCGUCGGGAGGCAGCAGUAGGGCAUCUUCCGCCAUGGGCGCAGGCAUGACGGAGCAACGCCGCGUGAGUGAUGAAGGUCUUCGGAUCGUAAAACUCUGUUAUUAGGGAAGAACAUAUGUGUAAGUAACUGUGCACAUCUUGACGGUACCUAAUCAGAAAGCCACGGCUAACUACGUG
rnacentral:rRNA from 1 species